GCCAGGUGUGGUGGUGUGCACCUGUGGUCCCAGCUACUUAGGAGGCUGAGAUGGGAGGAUCGCUUGAGCCUGGGAGGUCAAGGCUGCAGUGAGUUAUGACUGUGCCACUGCACUCCAGCCUGGGCAACAGAGUGAGACCCUGCCUCAA
ensembl:misc_RNA Metazoa_SRP Metazoan signal recognition particle RNA